GGCCACAGCCACAGUCUUGGUUCGCGGUUUGCAGUGUGUCGACCUCCCCUCGUACGACCACUGCUGCUCGGUAGAUCGGUCGUCUUUGGAGAACUUGGACAAGUUCUUGAUCUUCAACUGGUGGCUUAGUCGCGAGCCUCUCGGAAGCUGCCCAAUUACCAAACUAAGUUUAGUGUUUUUGUGUGGUGAAGAAAUUGCUGAACUAGAACGUGGGUGCUGAACAACAAGUCAGCGGAACCUCUACCCUAUCGGCGAUCUACGCACGGACUGUGCAAUCGGCGUUCCGCUGCUAAACAGCUGAGCCAACACAGAACGCGGUGGAGUGCUGGUUCAGUGAACACCUUCAAUUAACAGUGGUGACUAGUGUAGCAAGAGAGAGCACUUUGAAGUUUGUGCGACGUCGAGAAGAAGCCUGUUACUAGGAGGAUCAUCUGAACGAUCGAUCGAUCAAUCGCUGACGUACCGAGAAAAUUGCCUCUCUCGAAACCGAAUGAAGAAUGCUGUUUGAUGGGCAGUGCUUACGGUUGUGAAUUGUGGUGGUAAACGGUAGUGAGUUGUUGCAAGGCUUGUGAUUAGACACACAUACACACCCCUAAUAGUUGGUGAAGAGUUGUGAAUAGUGAUAUAGCUCCUGGGUGCGAAAGUCUCCGGCGAGACUUAGAGAUAAGCGAGGAUGCAGCCGAACGAGAAUUAUAACAAUAACAUCAUCCAGGAGGAGUUCGCUCCGACGCUGACCGACAGCGACAAGAGUCCCAUCCACACAUGUGCCAGCACGUCGGCCACGGUGUUCAGCAACAGCGCAGCGACAACCCAACCCAAGGAAAUCCCCAAUGGCUGCUGUUCCUCCACCUCCUCCGGUAGCCCGGCGGAACUGGACUGCGGCAAGCAGGAUGUCUCGUACUACAAACUGCGCCAGUUACUUAGCUACGACGACGCCCCUGCCCACCUCAAGUUCAACCCGUUCAUCCGCAGCGGCUACCGGACCAUCCUGUCCACCAAGCUCUGCCUGGAGAGCAUGUUCUGGUGGACGAACGAAACCGUCAACAUCUGGAGCCACGUCUUUGGGUGGUUCCUCUUCAUCGGGCUCGCCUACUCGGACGUGGUCCUGCUCCAGAUGCACGCCAGCAUGAUCGACAAGCUGAUCGUCGGGGCGCUGCUCGUGUGUUUUCAGGUCUGCAUGAUCCUGUCCUCGAUCUACCAUACUUUCUCCUGCAAGUCGGAGCAAAGCUAUGAGUGUUUCCUCGCGUACGACCUGUUCGGGAUCGCGCUCUCGCUGCUGGCCAUCUUCAUCAGCGGCAUCUACUACGCGUUCUGGUGCAAUGCGGAACUCCGCAACUUCUACAUCAUCACGAUCGGCGUCAUCUUCACCGUGGCCAUGAUCCUCCAGAUCCCCCGCCUCAAGGUCAACUCGAACGUCAAGAUGCUGGCUUUCGUGGCGUGGGCCGCGUACGGGGUCGUCCCGACGCUCCACUGGUACAUCGUGAUGGGCGGCGCCGAAAGUACCAUGGUCAAGCUGUUCAUACCGCGGGUGGCCAUCAUGUACCUGCUCACGGGGACGGCCUUCCUGAUCUAUGUCACCAGAAUACCGGAGCGAUGGUUCGCCGGGAAGGUCGACUACAUUGGCCACUCGCACAACUGGUGGCACGUGUUCGUGCUGGCCGCGCUCUACUACUGGCACAACAGUGGUUUGGCCUUUGCAUUUUUCAUGAUUGAUAACGGAUGUGUAGAAGAUAGAGAUAAAUGUUACCGGUUGUAAAUAGGAUCGCCGGAAAAAAAACAGAACAAAACCGAAACGUUGGACGUAGUCCUACGUUAGAAACAAACACUGAAAAAAAUGCUAACCACACAUUCCCAACAGAAUAGCUAAAAGCGCGAAAUAUUUUUAAACUUGUUUUGUUUGCGAUUUUUCUUGCCUUUUGAUUCUUGCCCCCCCCUUUUUUAAGUUGUUAUAUAUUUGCUUUUAGUUUUUAAUUUUCGGUGUUCCUACACACACACACGGGUUGAGGGUGACUUGUAAAGACAUUAGCGGACUGACACAAAAACACAUGCAAGUUGAGAAAAUAAUAGGAUCUAACCGGAAAGAACCCCCUCCACCCCUCUCCUCCAUCGACUGACUACUAAUACAACUCACUAAGCGAAAGAGGGGCGCCUCGACGGUGACAGAACACUUUCAUGAACACUACAAGGCAUGAAAUAUGUCGAGUACCGGAUGACCCACGGAUGUUCGGCCGGGGUCCAGUACACCUGACCGCCGUCGCCGGAACUGGCCACUAAUUAGUGGGAGAGGGACCCCACCCCCAUCGACACACACACAGUGUAAACAAAAACAAAGCAAAGCAAUUUAGGGAAAGCGAGAGAAAGAGAACAAUGCGGGUGCUUGUGAGGGUGUGUGCGUGAGAGAAUUUGAAGAGAGUGUGAGUGAGACAAACAGAGAGAAUCAAGAGACAGAGACAAUACGAGAGAGGGACUCGAGAGAGAGCGAAACCGUUGCUAGUGUUAUUUACGGUAUAUUUUUAAAAUAGUCCACAGCAUUGUUGAACGUAAAUAGUUGUACAGAAAAAGUUCUAGUUAUUUUCUCCCUCUUACUCUUCUUCUUCCCCUCGUUCAAAGCGUCGUUCUAGUUAAAUAGGGCGGCGCGUAAUAGUGUUUGCUCAAAUUUACCAACUACGACUAUUUACACAGUAUAACAGUACCUUAAACUAACUGAAAACAGACAGAAAGCGAGAGAGAGAGCGAGAGGGACACGCAGUACAGGUAGUAUCAGUUACAUUUUACCAACAACCUAUAAUAAUUCGCAGUACAAGAUGUGAUCUAUUUAGCUCAACUACGGAACUAUGAAACAUACUGAUAUAGCCAGAGUUUAUUCAGAUUCGUUUAGUAGGACACUUUUUUUAGGUCUUUCGAUAAGUAAUAAAGUUUCAAAACAGUUUAA